rnacentral:rRNA from 1 species
CAGAGGUCCCAAGCGUUGUUCGGAUUUACUGGGCGUAAAGGGUGCGUAGGCGGUCGGGUAAGUCUGAUGUGAAAUCUCCGAGCUUAACUCGGAAAUGGCAUUGGAUACUAUUCGGCUGGAGAGUUGGAGGGGGGACUGGAAUACUUGGUGUAGCAGUGAAAUGCGUAGAUAUCAAGUGGAACACCAGUGGCGAAGGCGAGUCCCUGGACAACUUCUGACGCUGAGGCACGAAAGCUAGGGGAGCAAACAGGAUUAGAUACCCUGGUAGUCCUAGCCGUAAACGGUGCGUAUUUGCUGUAAAAGGAUCGACCCCUUUUGUGGCGUAGCAAACGCGUUAAAUCGCCGCCUGGGAAGUACGGUCGCAAGAUUA